rnacentral:rRNA from 1 species
UACGUAGGGCGCAAGCGUUAUCCGGAAUUAUUGGGCGUAAAGAGCUCGUAGGCGGUUUGUCGCGUCUGCCGUGAAAGUCCGGGGCUCAACUCCGGAUCUGCGGUGGGUACGGGCAGACUAGAGUGAUGUAGGGGAGACUGGAAUUCCUGGUGUAGCGGUGAAAUGCGCAGAUAUCAGGAGGAACACCGAUGGCGAAGGCAGGUCUCUGGGCAUUAACUGACGCUGAUGGACGAAAGCGUGGGGAGCGAACAGG